GGGAUUGUGGCUCAGCAGUAGAGCGCUUGCCUCACAUGUAUAAGGCACUGGGUUCGAACCUCAGCACCA
rnacentral:tRNA from 1 species